GCAGGGACAGAGGAAAAGCCAAAAAACAGAAAAAAGUUAGCAAUGGAGAGAGAAGGAAAAGUCAAGAGGGGAAGUAAUCAGUGAGAUGAUAAAGAGACACAAGACUUAGGAUGCGGUAGAAGGAGAGUGCUUGUGAUGCGACAUGUAGGUGGGAGCAUGGAGGCGUGAGAAGGAAAAUGGUACAAAUCACUGGAUAAGAAUGCUUGCUUAGGCAAGAAAAGACCAACCACCACCAGCGAAAUGCGCAGUGCUCACCUAGGCACUGAGGGAGCCCUCGCUAAUAAAUUACAGAGCGAGACCUGAGAUUAAACAUGAAAUGAGCGAUGCCGUCUAACGGCUGAACUGAACUGGGCAGAGGUGGAGACAGCUCAUCAACAACAGUCAAAAUGAUCAUGGGUGAAAAACAGAUAAGAUUAAAGUCGGUUGAUGACAUGAAACGGACUGGUGAAGGUUCAGCUUUAUAGUAACACACGACUGAUGAGAGCGACAAUUAGGGAUUGCUUGCGGAGUUAGCCCCUCAGGAAACGGGUUAUGGCUGUGGAACAAUUUCGUAAAAAGCUGGAAACUCGAGCUGCUGAAAUGAAGGUGAAGCUGAACCAACUACAUAGGAGAUCCCCCCCAAAAAAGGGCCAUGCCCGACAGACUGAAUUUAAAAUGAAAAAUAGAAAGAAAAUACCAUCUAAACUCAUCAAAAAGCUUUGACGUGUAGAGAUGUGCCACUCGAAUGAACUUCACGGACCUGGCAAUGGGGUUGGGAGUUUAGACUAGAAUGGCUGUGAGCUUUAGGAUACCUGCAAGAGCUGGUUGCCGUAGUGACAGACCCACAAGAAUGACUGGUAAGAGUCUAAAGGCUAUUGGCCCAGAAGUGAGACUGGAAUGAGCACAUUUGAGUGUGGGACCGGGGUAAGUGAGAGAACCGACUACAUAGCCUGAAAGUGGCAGGAUGGCCUGGGAAAUAAUCUGCCGAUUCUGGGAGAUCUUGAGAUAAGAACUGAGAAGCGACCCAUGGGACUUGAACAGGACACAUCAGAAUAUGGAACAGCUUGGUUGAUAGCGGCGAAGCAAGUAGACCAGGAAUAUCCAGAGUUCAGCUAAGAAAAACCUAAAACUUAAGCUACGAAAAGGAUCACCUGCUGGAAUAGCGACUGCCAGACCAUUUAAAUCCUCUGGAUUGUUCUGAACUGAGCUACCGGAAUGAAAUAUGAAUCAACCACUAUACAUUGCGCAUGUGGAAAAUUCCUAUAAAUCGAAUGCUUUUAAAAAAAAAACACGUCUUACAUUGAGACUAAACCAGUUCCAUUUAAGGUUGCUUUGAUAAGUAGUGAAUGGACACGAGCAAAAAUUUUUAGAAACAAUGAUUGGACAAUGCCCUCGUCAACAAGAAUUUAAGGCCGAUUAAUAAUUAGCAGAAGCGCUGGACAGACUCAACCGAACUGAAGAGGAAUUAUUAGUCGACUUCAUGUUACGUUGGCAAGCCACUCUACUACACGUAUUGCGUCGCAACAGGGUAAAAGUCCACAAUUAGGUGAAUGACAAUUUAUGCCUCAUGCCGCGGUAUGAGAAGGCCAGCCGAGACGCGAACCCCUGCUCCAGACGAGAUUAGCUGAUUGAACUGACUGUUUAGGUCAUGAUGAGGAGUAAAUUUAAAAUAUGCUAGUUUUAAAAACUUGCCAUGUCUUUAUUGGAAAGCCUAAUUAUAGUUCUCAGAUUAAUAACUUAUUCUGUCCUGUUAACCUUUAUGUUACCUGUAGAUAAAGUAGAUUGUUUGCCGAGAUCUUUUGAACUGCCCUUUGUGUGGGAAAUCAGGAGAAGUUCCAGCUUUCACACUGAUCUGUGAAAAGCCUUGAAACAGCAGGAAUGGAGGAAACUCCGGUACCAAAUCGAUGCAGGAAUAUAAAAGAGUUGGCCAUGUAGGUAAAACACGGGGCUUGCAGAACAGCCGGGACACAACUGAAGUGACCGCCCGCGCUGCCGGGCCUGGGUAGCAUAAAUUAUAAUACAGCUCGACGACAAAGAAUACUGCACUGACUAGCGACGAAUAACUAAUGUGAAGCAGAUAGAUAACUGCGGUGACCAAACGACCCGUUAACGAUGGGCUGCACUGCUCGCAGUUGAGUGCAGAUGCAUCUGCUAUUUAUACGAUAGACAUCCCUCCAAAGCUGACUGGAUUCUAACGUACGCCUUGCAGCUCUUACGCAACAGCUGGUCACCUGCUGAACCAAUGUUAUGUUUAAAGGCGCCUCGGAGAAACAGGUGACGAUGUUUUAGCUAAGUCAAUGUUCGGAUAAAAGUCCUUGAACAUUAGAACCUGAGUGGCGCAUGUAUAUACGGCCAAAGUGUUCGGGAGGGGAUAAACUAAUGAAAAGUGUCUGCGUUACGAAGUAUUGCGAGACUCGAAUGAGACAUGAGAAUGCUACGUCUUACCCUGGUAGCCUGAAACAGGCGUAGUGAGGGAAAACCAGAGAGGUGUUGCUGAGCGGGCUGACAGCGACCAUGCAGGAGAGGGAAAUCGUAGGCAUGCUGAUCCUUAGCGUGGCACUGGUGUGAAGGCGCUGAGGUGAAGAAGACGGUGCGGGUUGAAAACAGUGGGAUCACGUGUCUGCUUGCCAGAGGUGGACCGUGGAGUAGGUGGCGAGGGAGCGGGAGAUUGGAGAAAUCCCAGUCAGGCGAGAGAAAGGGGGAAGACGCUACUUGAAAUCAUCAAGGCGGGAGACGCCGCUUGAAAUCAUCGAGGAAUCGCUUGCAUCUGAGGAGCAUCCUGACAGCCUGAGACGGGCGUAGAGGGGGAAAUCCGGAAAGGUGCUGACCAUGACGGCAUGCGGAAGUGAGAGAAGCUUGGCGGGCGAAGGAAGAUGGCCUUUGCUGCUUCCCUCAGAUCCUCCCUUUUGAUUCUGUCGUUUUUCUUUACGGCAUCUUUAAACAGGCUGUUCCCUCCACGUAGAGCUCCGCAGUUAGCUACCUUGUCUCACGACUGUGCGGGAGGUAAUGCGUCGUGCAUCACGGGCCAAAGGGGUCAAAGUAAACAA